AUUCUAGAUCUUACCACAUUGUGUCAGUUUCACCUUGGUCACAUGGAGGGCAGAGCACUGGACACAGGACUGGGCCACAGUGCCACAGUACCAGCCAAAUGGCAGUUACAAGAGCGAGCAUAUGCACCCUAUAGCAAAAUUUAGAAUAAAAAAGGCGGGGAGAAGAGCCUGCUGAAGGAUCUGGCCCAUGAAGGAAGGCACAAAGAAAGCCACCAGGAGAGAGAAGGCAUUUCUACCCAGGACGCAAGCACCUCUUCCAGUGGAGGCAGCUACCUCUGUCAAAGACUGCAGGAGGCCGGCACUCCUCCAGUCUACCUGUCUUUCCGGGAAGGCUCUGGAUGCCUCCAAAUCUCAGAUCAGCAGGAGCCUUGCAGGGUUCCCAGUGUAGCCAUCCGCUCGCUAACACAGCAGAAGCAAGACCAGCCUUCCCAGAGCUUCACCCUGGCCCCCCAUCCAAGGGCUCGUACCCCGGCUCUUCCACCCUAGAGGCUGCAGAUGGGCAGCAUCUGUGUGUUCCAGCAAGGGGCACACCCCAGGCAAAGGCAGACUUCUGAAGAGCCCCACAGGAGCUGGGACAUGCCCCUCUUGGUGCUGCUGAGAAGGAAAGGCCCCAAGGAGGAAGAGCUGCACUCUUGGCCCCUAGAUCGAUGCCCGGCGUUCUUCCAUGCCUGUCUCUCCUGACCCUCUUCCCUGGAGCUAUGCAAGGGAUCCGUGAGCCCUAGCCCUCCUGCUUCCCUUGUUUCUUGUGCCUAGGAUAAACCCAUUCCAUGGA